rnacentral:rRNA from 1 species
GACGUAGGGCGCAAGCGUUGUCCGGAUUUAUUGGGCGUAAAGGGCUCGUAGGCGGUUUGUCGCGUCGGGAGUGAAAACCCCAGGGCUUAACCCUGGGCUGGCUUUCGAUACGGGCAGACUAGAGGUAUGCAGGGGGAGAACGGAAUUCCUGGUGUAGCGGUGAAAUGCGCAGAUAUCAGGAGGAACACCGGUGGCGAAGGCGGUUCUCUGGGCAUGAUCUGACGCUGAGGAGCGAAAGUGUGGGGAGCGAACAGG